rnacentral:rRNA from 1 species
UACGGGGGGGGCAAGCGUUGUUCGGAAUUACUGGGCGUAAAGGGCUUGUAGGUGGCCAACUAAGUCAGACGUGAAAUCCCUCGGCUUAACCGGGGAACUGCGUCUGAUACUGGAUGGCUGGAGUGUGGGAGAGGGAUGCGGAAUUCCAGGUGUAGCGGUGAAAUGCGUAGAGAUCAUGAGGAAGACCAGUGGCGAAGGCGGGUCUCUGGACAGUUCCUGACACUGAGGCACGAAGGCCAGGGGAGCAAACGGG